rnacentral:rRNA from 1 species
UACGGAGGGUGCAAGCGUUAUCCGGAAUCAUUGGGUUUAAAGGGUCCGUAGGCGGAUUGAUAAGUCAGAGGUGAAAUCCCACAGCUUAACUGUGGCACUGCCUUUGAUACUGUUAGUCUUGAGUUAUAUGGAAGUAGAUAGAAUGUGUAGUGUAGCGGUGAAAUGCUUAGAGAUUACACAGAAUACCGAUUGCGAAGGCAGUCUACUACGUAUAUACUGACGCUAAUGGACGAAAGCGUGGGGAGCGAACAGG